CCUACGGGAGGCAGCAGUGGGGAAUCUUGCGCAAUGGGCGAAAGCCUGACGCAGCCAUGCCGCGUGAAUGAUGAAGGUCUUAGGAUUGUAAAAUUCUUUCACCGGGGACGAUAAUGACGGUACCCGGAGAAGAAGCCCCGGCUAACUUCGUGCCAGCAGCCGCGGUAAUACGAAGGGGGCUAGCGUUGCUCGGAAUUACUGGGCGUAAAGGGAGCGUAGGCGGAUAGUUUAGUCAGAGGUGAAAGCCCAGGGCUCAACCUUGGAAUUGCCUUUGAUACUGGCUAUCUUGAGUGUGGGAGAGGUAUGUGGAACUCCGAGUGUAGAGGUGAAAUUCGUAGAUAUUCGGAAGAACACCAGUGGCGAAGGCGACAUACUGGCCCAUUACUGACGCUGAGGCUCGAAAGCGUGGGGAGCAAACAGGAUUAGAUACCCUGGUAGUCCACGCUGUAAACGAUGAGUGCUAGUUGUCGGCAUGCAUGCAUGUCGGUGACGCAGCUACGCAUAAGACACUCCGCCGUCGGGGAGGUACGGUCGCGAAGAAUUAAAACUAACAAAUAGUAAGUUAGUACGGCGUGAGACGUGACCGAACGGACGACGACGAGGGAGGAGGG
rnacentral:rRNA from 1 species